rnacentral:rRNA from 1 species
GGGCCCCGCACAAGCAGCGGAGCGUGUGGUUUAAUUCGAUGCUACACGAAGAACCUUACCAGGGUUUGACAUGCAAGUGGUAGGAAACCGAAAGGCGACCGACCCUUCGGGGAGCUUGCACAGGUGCUGCAUGGCUGUCGUCAGCUCGUGUCGUGAGAUGUUCGGUUAAGUCCGCUAACGAGCGCAACCCUCGCUGUGUGUUACAAGUGUCACACGGUACUGCCGGUCUUAAGCCGGAGGAAGGUGGGGAUGACGUCAAGUCAGCAUGGCCUUUAUGUCCUGGGCUACACACACGCUACAAUGGCCAACACAAUAGGUUGCUAAGCCGCGAGGUGGAGCCAAUCCUCAAAGUUGGUCUCAGUUCAGAUUGCAGGCCGCAACCCGCCUGCAUGAAGAUGGAGUUGCUAGUAACCGCAGGUCAGCUAUACUGCGGUGAAUACGUUCCCGGGGCUU